rnacentral:rRNA from 1 species
GAUGAACGCUGGCGGCGUGCCUAAUACAUGCAAGUCGAGCGAACAGAUGAGAAGCUUGCUUCUCUGAUGUUAGCGGCGGACGGGUGAGUAACACGUGGGUAACCUACCUAUAAGACUAGGAUAACGCCGGGAAACCGGGGCGAAUACCGGAUAAUAUUUUGAACCGCAUGGUUCAAUAGUGAAAGACGGUUUCGGCUGUCACCUAUACAUGGACCCGCGCCGUAUUAGCUAGUUGGUAAGGUAACGGCUUACCAAGGCGACGAUACGUAGCCGACCUGAGAGGGUGAUCGGCCACACUGGAACUGAGACACGGUCCAGACUCCUACGGGAGGCAGCAGUAGGGAAUCUUCCGCAAUGGGCGAAAGCCUGACGGAGCAACGCCGCGUGAGUGAUGAAGGUCUUCGGAUCGUAAAACUCUGUUGUUAGGGAAGAACAAAUUUGUUAGUAACUGAACAAGUCUUGACGGUACCUAACCAGAAAGCCACGGCUAACUACGUGCCAGCAGCCGCAGUAA